AGGUAUUAUCAUUACUGCCACUACACGGAUGACAAAACUGAGCUUCAGAAGUUGCUAAGCAGCUUACCCAAGACUGCAGAGCAAAUGAGGACAGAUCUCUUGUCUCCUAAUUAGUAUCAAAAGUCCACAAGGGCAGGGACCCAUAUGUCCCCCAUACGAAGAGCUGCCAUGCCGGAGCACUCGCCACCUGCCAACCCUCUGAGCGGAGGCCUCUCCUUGAUUGCCCGUAUCAACCCUAGGAGAAUAGAAAAAGAAACAGCUUCUCCAUGGCAUAAUAAAAGAAGCAGUCCCUGAAUUAAUCAAAUGAAUGGGGAAGAAAAUCAAUAAAGGCCCGGUGACUUCUAAUGAGUUCCAGCUCACAUCCUGGAUGAAUUAUCGUUGGAGGAGUGUGUGCACUCAGUGAAAAUAAACUAACAGCGAGACUCA
rnacentral:lncRNA from 12 species